rnacentral:rRNA from 1 species
CCUACGGGCGGCAGCAGUGAGGAAUCUUGGUCAAUGGGCGCGAGCCUGAACCAGCCAAGUAGCGUGAAGGAUGACUGCCCUACGGGUUGUAAACUUCUUUUAUGAAGGAAUAAAGUGAGGCACGUGUGCCUUUUUGUAUGUACUUUAUGAAUAAGGAUCGGCUAACUCCGUGCCCGCAGCCGCGGUAAUACGGAUGAUCCGAGCGUUAUCCGGAUUUAUUGGGUUUAAAGGGCGCGUAGCUGGGUUGUUAAGUCAGUUGUGAAAGUUUGCGGCUCAACCGUAAAAUUGCAAUUGAUACUGGCAGGCUGGAGUACAGUGGAGGUAGGCGGAAUUCGCGGUGUAGCGGUGAAAUGCUUAGAUAUCACGAAGAACUCCGAUUGCGAAGGCAGCUUACUAAACUGCAACUGACAUUGAUGCUCGAAAGUGAGGGUAUCAAACAGGAUUAGAUACCCGAGUAGUC